rnacentral:rRNA from 1 species
GAUGAACGCUAGCUACAGGCUUAACACAUGCAAGUCGAGGGGCAGCAUGAACUUAGCUUGCUAAGUUUGAUGGCGACCGGCGCACGGGUGAGUAACACGUAUCCAACCUUCCGUUUACUCAGGGAUAGCCUUUCGAAAGAAAGAUUAAUACCUGAUAGUAUGGUGAGAUUGCAUGAUAGCACCAUUAAAGAUUUAUUGGUAAACGAUGGGGAUGCGUUCCAUUAGGUAGUAGGCGGGGUAACGGCCCACCUAGCCGACGAUGGAUAGGGGUUCUGAGAGGAAGGUCCCCCACAUUGGAACUGAGACACGGUCCAAAACUCCUACGGGAGGCAGCAGUGAGGAAUAUUGGUCAAUGGGCGAGAGCCUGAACCAGCCAAGUAGCGUGAAGGAUGAAGGUCCUACGGAUUGUAAACUUCUUUAUACGGGAAUAAAGUAUCCUACGUGUAGGAUUUUGUAUGUACCGUAUGAAUAAGCAUCGGCUAACUCCGUGCCAGCAGCCGC